CGUAACAAGGUCUCCGUUGGUGAACCAGCGGAGGGAUCAUUACUGAGUUACCGCUCUAUAACCCUUUGUGAACAUACCUAUACGUUGCUUCGGCGGGCCGUCCCCCGGGGCGUCCGCCGGAGGAUAACCAAACUCUGAUUUAACGACGUUUCUUCUGAGUGGCACAAGCAAAUAAUCAAAACUUUUAACAACGGAUCUCUUGGUUCUGGCAUCGAUGAAGAACGCAGCGAAAUGCGAUAAGUAAUGUGAAUUGCAGAAUUCAGUGAAUCAUCGAAUCUUUGAACGCACAUUGCGCCCGCCAGCAUUCUGGCGGGCAUGCCUGUUCGAGCGUCAUUUCAACCCUCAAGCACUGCUUGGUGUUGGGGCUCUACGGUUGACGUAGGCCCCCAAAACUAGUGGCGGACCCUCUCGGAGCCUCCUUUGCGUAGUAACUUUUGUCUCGCACUGGGAUUCGGAGGGACUCUAGCCGUUAAACCCCCCAAUUUUCUAAAGGUGACCUCGGAUCAGGUA
rnacentral:rRNA from 1 species